rnacentral:snRNA from 1 species
AGGACGACCUUCCCCGAAUAGAGGAGGACCGGUCUUCGGUCAAGGGUAUACGAGUAGCUGUGCUCCCCUGCUAGAACCUCCAAACAAGCUCUCAAGGUCCAGAGUAUCUUUUUUUUAAAGAAGUAUGUGUUGGGGGGCAGUGUAUGUGUAUGUGUGCAUACAAUU